UACGAAGGGUGCAAGCGUUACUCGGAUUUACUGGGCGUAAAGGGUGCGUAGGUGGCUUGACAAGUUUGAUGUGAAAUCUCCGGGCUUAACCCGGAAAAUGCAUUGAAUACUGUAGAGGCUUGAGGUUUGGAGGGGGGACUGGAAUUCUCGGUGUAGCAGUGAAAUGCGUAGAUAUCGAGAGGAACACCAGUGGCGAAGGCGAGUCCCUGGACAACACCUGACACUGAGGCACGAAAGCCGGGGGAGCAAACAGG
rnacentral:rRNA from 1 species